rnacentral:lncRNA from 1 species
AUCUUACGUUUUCUCGGGUUGAAAAUAACGCGCGUCUCCCUGAUCGAGACCUCAGAAACGAGAGCGGCGUUGGACGCGCACAGGGCGAUCGCGUUGAACGCCGCGCGCGUGGAGGGAGGGGUCCUUGCGCGGGUCAAUGCCGCUAUCUUACGAGCGGCGCACGUCGCAAUUGAUCACGCGCAAGGAGGGCUUAUGGUAAGGCUUUCCGAGAGUAUCCUCCACUUCAUAAACGUUUAUGUAUGCCUUGUGUCUUUUUUGUUUUCAAACUUAAGGUUCACGUUCCCGGAUCGACUCCACCUUUCGAUCGCGGUCGUUGCAUUUAAGCUCGCAGAGUGGUGGUAUGGCACUGCGGAAGGCGUCGUCGAACGCGGCUCGUUGCUGCCAUCGCCUCCGCCACCACCUCUCCCACCUCCCGCACUUGAUGGUGUCGGAAUCGCUCCGCGCGGUCGCUGUCCAGUGUGCCGACGCUUCAUCGUCGACGCGAGCACGCUCGCGUGCUCUGGUUAUGUUUUCUGUUCUGAAUGCGCGUUCGAGCACGUGCAGCAAGUAAAGUCAUGCCCGGUAACACUGAUUCCAUCGAAAAAUGCGAAUGUGAGGCGGCUGUUUGACUCAGCGUGAGCGUGGCAGAAACGUGGGGUGGAAGGCAUGGCGUGAAGUCAUGACGGUGGUAUUCGAUGCAGGUCGACGUCAGCAACAGAUGAUUUGCGGGCGUUGAUGAGGGGAAGAUCUGCGCCGGCAUGGGGUGCAACGGUCACAAGCCAAGGACGCAAGGACACGAGCAGGACAGUUGGUUUUUACAGUCAGGCAGUUCGAACCUCGGCAACCCUACAAAACGAAAGCGCCCCACUUUACGUGUACCGCACGCGCCUGCGAAAAGGGGAAGUAACCUUAGGAGGUGCCCGUACGUGUACUAUCUUCCCUGACUUUUUGCAGAUUCCAGUGUGCAACCAGCAGCUUUGAGAUUCUAACACACUCGAUCGUUGUCUCAGCAAGACACGUCCGUCUUGCGCGCUCAAUUCUUCGCGUGGAACGUUUCGACCUUCUUGCGUGUUUCCCAGUGCCACAUCUGAAGGAAACAACGAUGAGGUGGGGGGGGGGACGUGGACCAGCGAUAUGAUGUGGGGGGAAGGACUCGAACGGGCGAUCUCGACAUAAACGGGAACUGCGUGGUGCAGGAGAUCGACGGACGCGCACGCACCUUCCAAGCUCCACCAGCGACGAGACCAAGUCCCACGCCGAUGGCAGCGUCCGUGGCUACAUAAAUUUUUUGCGCUGUUGAUCACACGGGAGGAUGGACGUGCGUUGCGAGGUUAGUCGUGGGUUUUUCGUUGGGUGGGGGCUUCCGCGAAGAGAGAGAUCCCAUAGUAGGGUUUCCUCUCUCCCAAAGCGCACAUCAAAGGCGAGAUGCGAGCGAAGGGGCGCGCUCUCAGCGAAUCGCGUGGUGAUACAUGCGAGGGAGAUGACAUUUACCGUUUCCGUAGUACGUGACCGCACCCAUGGCGACCGUGUGCGCGAGAGGUUAGUUAUGGUUCCGAGUGUCCAUACAGGCAGAACUUACGAUCAGCGCCUCCGUCGCUUCCGUUCGGCCGUCGGUCAGUUGAGGGAAAUACGGGUCGGGUUGAUCGGCGGUCUCGAUCGGGACAGUGGUUUGAAACUCAUACUCUAAGUCACGAACGGUGCCUCCGCGUCGUCACCCGGCGUGCCGUCGAGGUUCGUCGGAUAGAGGCGUCCCACGCCACCCCGCGCGCGCUCGGGCGCGCCGCGCGCGCAAGUGGCGCGUCGCCCGAGCGUGAAGAGCAACGACGCGUUGAGUUGCGAACCUUUCUCGAAACUACGACUCCGGUGAAACACGCGAGAUCUGAAAGCUCGCGCCCGAUCAAAAUUAGGCUGAAAUUAGGGGGUUUUCCCGACUUAGACUACAGUACACGUACGUGUACUGACUGGCCUACGCCCUUUAAGCCGCGAAGCUGUUUCUCUUCACUUCUGUUCAGAGUUUGUAGAGUGGCGUGUUUAAUAUAGUAUUGAACACAGCACUGGCAAUGUAGGGCUAAUUCGCACAUCCUCCUCCACAACUGGUGCCCUAUGUAAGUCGAAGCUAAACCCAUCUACAACUAGGCAUUUUUCCGGUCCUACGAAAAUUUCAGCCAAUGAAAUGCGUUUGGAGCCCCGUAUGCAAAAACCUGCACCGGGACGUGACGAUGAACUCGUCCUCGAACGACAACGACGCCGCGCGGGAGCGGCACUUUCGCGCGCGCGCGCCGGAGAUAUGGCGCGCACGCCGGAGAUAUGGGGCGGUUGUAUCCAACGAAUCCUGACGGGAACGCGGAGGCGCUAAUUAUAAAUGUACGAUUGAUAGCAACUAAAAGUAGUGUACACGUACGUGUACACUAAGUUGUACGAAAGUACGAAAGUACUUUCGUACUUUCGUACUUUCGUACGAAAGUACUUUCGAAAGUACGAAAGUACUUUCGUACUUUCGUACGAAAGUAUGAUACUUUCGUACUUUCGUACUUUCGAAAGUACUUUGCACUGUACAACGUUGUACACGUACGUGUAGUCAUUUUUAACUUCCGUACUUCCGUAAAUAAGUCAACUUAUUUAUCUUCGAACGAAGAUUUUCUAUUUCCGGAAGUAAUACUUUCGUACUACCGUACUGUACACGUAUGUAGGGCUACGUGUAGUACACUACUGUACGUACUUGUGGGGCUGCAUUUCACGGAGACUUGAAACAAUGCUCGCCACGCGAACGUCGUCGAACCCACGCGCCCAACAAUACGACAUUUAGACACGACGACACAGACAAAGAAUGACAUGAUUGGGUAUAAUGAUACGGGAUGGCCGUCCCUAGGACUAGAUCGUGGUAUUCUGAGGGCACUGGCAAAGAAGAAGUUCAAGUGUCCCACUGCGGUACAGUCCCGCGCGAUCCCGCUGGUUCUUGCUGGCAAAGACGUGUUAGCACGCGCACACACAGGAAGUGGCAAAACCGCAGCGUACCUUCUUCCCGCCAUACAUAAAAUAAUGCAGCGCAGCGAUUCAAAAACUAAGUCUAAUCCACGGGUGCUUAUACUCGUUCCCACGCACGAGCUUGCUCAACAAGUGAUGAAAGAGGCAGUUUCAUUUCUUGUUGAGUGCGCUCCUACUUUACGCGCAGGCGAGCUGACAUGUUCUGGUAGUGCCGAUGUUUUACCUCGCAACUUCGCUGGGGUGCCUCCAGAAAUACUUGUGUCCACUCCCUCACGUGUUGCCGCAUGUAUACGUGGAGGUAAAUUCCCCCCCAGGGCACUCAACUCUGGCCUUGAGUUCUUUGUACUUGAUGAGGCUGAUCUUCUGCUGUCUUUUGGUUAUGAAGAUGACAUUCGCUGCAUAGCUGAUGCCACAGAACGUGGUUGUCAGUGCAUGCUUGUAUCUGCUACUUCACCUGAUGAUCUUUCAAAACUUAAGGCAAUUGUUUUGCAUAAUCCAGUAAACGUAGAUAUUGCGCUCGAAAACAAUUUUGUCAGUGGCAGGGUAAAAGAAGAGCAAGUUACAACAGGUAAAUCGGCAGUAAUGCCCUUGAUCUCUCACUACGCCCUCGAGAUUCUCGAAAAAGACAAACUACUAUAUUGUAUGGCUCUACUCCGUCUUGGCCUUUGCAAGAAGAAGUCCUUAGUUUUUGUAUCGAGCCCAGAUGCUGCUGUCAGACUUCGUCUUUUCUUGCACAAAUUCGGAAUACCUUGUUGUGUGCUUCACGAAGAAUUGCCAGCUAAUUCUCGUGCCCAUAUUCUACAUGAAUUCAAUCGUGGGGUUUACGACUAUAUGAUCGCCGCGGCAGAUGACUUAUCGAGCAGCAUAUCAGUAGUAAACGAUGACAACAAGGAUGUGCCAGUGAAAGAAGUUUUUGAAUCUAAAGCUGAAAGCACCGAUGUCACCGACUGCAGCUUAUCGAAAAGAAGCAAGUUUACGAAACACACAAAACGAAAACGUAAUGCAAUGUCGCAUGCUCAAACGGAAUUCGGUGUUGUGCGAGGAAUAGACUUCAAAGAUGUGCACACUGUUCUAAAUUUAGAUGUGCCCAUUUCAGCCUCUGACUACAUUCACCGUGUUGGCCGGACUGGCCGUGCAGGACAACCAGGCACUGCCAUAACACUGACUACUCCAAAAAACGCACGCGCGCUCGAAGAUAUGCUAUCCCGGCAUAGUGUUAGCAGACACGACACGCGUUCAGCGAUUGCGUUGAUGCCAUAUAAAAUGCUUCGCAGGGAAGCUGUUGAGGCUCUCCGUUACCGGGCGGAGGAUGCUGCCCGCGCCGUCGGCCGUACAGCAGUACGGGAAGCAAGGCUUCGAGAAUUGCGAGCUGAACUACUGAACUCUGAGCGGCUCGCUGCACAUUUCGAUGGUAAUCCAACAGAUCUAGCCCUACUUAAGCGAGCUUCUUGCUUGAUCAGCCACCAAGAACAGCCACAUCUGUGUCACCUACCUAGCUACAUUCGGAGUCAAAAGGUGACGUGUUCUUCAGCCAAAACUGGCAAAAAGAACAAGCACACUGAGGGAGAAAAGCUGACUGACGAAACGACUGAUGAAAUACACGAUGACCACGACGAACCCUCAGAGUACUUGAAGAAGAGGAAAACAAGUAGAAGCAAAGAUUUUGCACACAAAAGUAGUAAUCCGUCAAGCAAGAAUCUCAGCUGGAAAGGAGCAAACUAACUCUUCAAGAACAAGAGUAGCUGGAGCCAGCUCUUAACAUUUUCCUUUGGUGACCCAAAUCAGGAUGUGUCAGCAUGCGCGGCUAUUUCAGCACGUGCAUGGGAACAUGUUGGGAUUGUUCUACAUAUUAAAUGGACUGUAUCUAUCAUCUACCCACUUUGAACUCGUUUUGUUCUCCCUGACUUAACCUCAAAACUUUGCGCAAGCUUGUGUGUCUCACAUUUGAGGUGAUCUCAUGCAUUAGUCUGCUUCUGUAUCGUUCGUGGAAAAGAAACUUGUUGUUCGGCCUGAACCGCAGUGCUUGUUCAAAGUCCAUCGUUGCUUCCAACUCCUUCCCAAGUUCUUGCCGUGUACUUCCUCUUCUAUGGAGUGCCUGCUUCACAUAAAAAGCUUUUUGAGUGAAACAGAAACAGUUUUUCAGUUAAAUAUUUGACCAACCUUUACGUUGUUUGGGUCUACUUCUAAGGCAUAUGUGCAGUCGACUUCGGCAAGCGCCCAGCACUUAUUAUUCAUAUGACACAUUGCUCGAUUCGCAAACGCUGCACUGCUAUUUCUGUGUGUCUGAAUGUACCUACUGUAGUGCAAAAUGGCACUGUCAUAUUCUCUCUUUCGAAAGCAGCCAUUACCAAUUUUCAGCAACUCUUCGAGGAAAGUUCCGUGUUUUGAUGAGUCUCGGUUUUCGAAUUCGCCUUCGGCGUUAUCAAGAAGUAAUCGCGCGCGGGCUCGCACUUUCACAGGAAUAUAUUUGGCAGAUGCCGGUGCGCUCGUGCGACACUCUUCCUUUUUGUCCAGAGCAAACUCAAGGCAGCGAAGAGCUUUAUCCUUCUGCUGAACUUCACGGGUCCAUUGCUUUAGAUCUUCCAAAAAAACAUCGAAAUCAAGCGCAGUCUCUCUAACGCGGUGUUGAACUUCGACCGUCAUCACUGCGUGGCGAGCUUGAUGACCUUCCGGAAGUACAACGUUCGAACGUUGUACUGAAGUACUUUCGUACGAAGGUAUGACAAGUCUACAACGUUGAAGGGCGACACGUACAGUAUAAAACAGUACACGUGUACAGUACGCGUAGUGAAAAUAAUAAAUGAAUAUCAUAAGUCAACUUUUAGUGUAUGAUAAGUUGUUAUGUACGAAGGUAAUAUGUGUUUAUUUACCUUCGUACGUGUACGUGUACAGUACAACGUUGUACCUUCGUUAUUCGAAGGUACCUUCGUAAAAGUUAACUUACUUUCGUACGAAAGUAAAUAUUUAUUGAUACAUAAAAGUUGGCAACUUACUGUACACGUACUGUACGUGUAACGUUGUACCUCGAAAGUACCUUCGAAGGUACGUGUACGACUAUGUGUACACGCACAUGACUACAUGUAACGUGUAAAACUGUAAAUUCUUUCUUCCGAAGUACAACUACUUUCGUACUUUCGUACGAAAGUACUUUCGAAAGUACUUUCGAAAGUAUGAUACUUUCGAUACUUUCGAAAGUACUUUCGAAGGUACUUUCGUACUUUCGAAAGUAUGACAAACAAAACAUAAUAAGUAGAUUUCGAUAUUUAAAUAUUUUAAUUACAUUCGUGACUGCUUCCCAUACGCAUCGUGCGCAAUAUAUAUUUCUGCGAUUAGAAUAUUUUUUCACGCGCUCGCGACGAAAUGGAGCGCGGAAACGCGCAAUCGCGUCAGCAGAUUCGCGCUCACGGAAACCGCGUCGCUUGAAUUUUCAUAGCAUCCAGUGGAACUCACGGAUGACCUCUCUCCCUUCCAUUUUGUCGCCUCGUGCGCGCCAUGACCGUGGCGCGGUGCCGCGGCGCGGCGCCAAUGCCGGCGUUCAGCCCUGCGACGCUGUUUUCUCCGCGAGCUGAAAAAUAUUUAAAUAUCGAAAUCUACAUAUGUUUUGUUCGUCAUACUUUCGUACGAAAGUACUAUUACGUGUACACGUACAACGCUGUAGACCUACACGUUACCUUCGUAUCAUAUCAUACCUUAUUCGUACAAAGUAGCGAGCCCUACGUGUACGUACAUGUACAGUACGUGUACAUGUACAACGUACGAACAUUUUUGUCGAGAAAGUUUUCAGUGUCGCCAGCUUAAGUUGUACGUGUACAGUACGUGUACACGUACACGUACGUGUAGUCCUCUACGUAAUUCGAAAAAACCAGCAAAAAAGCAUACUCGUGACUAAAAACACGUACAAAAGUGUACGCGCGAACACCCGCGCGCGAAACACUUCAAGGAUGAUGGCACGUGGGUGUGCCCAGUUUGUCUGUACCACGGCAUGUUCUUGAAAGAUGAGAUGAAAGAGGCGUGGACGAUAGUGGAAAAUGCUUCAAUAUCAUGAUAUUACAGCCCGUCCAGGCGUUGUGGCACGAUGAAGCGAAUUCUUAAAGAGCUGAUCCUCGACGCGAAACACUACUCCUUCCUCGAAUGAGAUCGCGACGAUUUUUUUUUGCAUCAUCUUGUUCCAGGCAUCAAGGUUGAACUUCCUAUGGUGGGGGAUUUCGCGUUCAUGCUCUCUGCCGCGAGAAGGGUACGCGGUCGUCACGAAUCGCGAUUCUUGGCAAGAUCUGCGCUUUCUUCGCGACGCGCGCGAAAUUCGAAAAACCGCCACCAUAGGGUUGUGCGCAUGCCUUAGAAGUGUCAUCGUGCAAAGCUUCGCGCGCAGACGUGCAUCGCGCGCGGAGGAGUAGUGUUUCGCGCGCGGGUGCUCGCGCGUACCCUUGUGUACGUGUUUUUUGUCACGAGUACGUUUUUUGCUGGUUUUUUUCGAAUUACGUACCUGUAUCCUACCUUCGUACGAAAGUUAUAUUACGCAUACAAAUUGCAAAAACGUACGAAAGUACGAAAGAAGGUACAGAGGACUACUGCACUGUACACUAGGGCUACACGUACUCGUACCUUAACAUCGCAGAAGCGGUCAGACGGUCAGUUUCAACACAACCCGAAUUCUCUUUCACGACAGAGUUAAUUGGAGCCUCGGAAACUAGCGGCGAAACUCUGCAUAUCCAAGGAAAAGUAUUUUAAGUGUCGGGAAGCAAGGAUGAACGGAAUUCGGUCAUCUUCAACUCGGCCUAUUCAAAAGCAACGGAAAGAACUUAAUCUCGACUUCUGGGUUCAAGACAUUGCCUCGCCCGCUUUUGUAUCACAAAGAGCUGGUGCCACUGUCACCAUUGAUGACUUCGGAAGGCUGCAGAUAGGUGACAAAAUCCCUCGUCUUACCUCCCCAAGGUCAGUCGAAGCUUGCCUAGAGUUGGGCGUGGACCCUGUUCAAUUGAAGCCAGUUUGCAUGGAGGAUUACCGCGAAUCAAACGUUGACUCGAAGAUCUGGAUGCUUAAAUAUCAACACGCGCAAAAUCGCCGCGAAAAUCUGCUACAGAGCCUGAGCAUACUGAGGUCACGUAUCCCGGAGACCAAUGUAGUCAACCACUUUCAUGAAAGGCAGGGUGUUAUUUCGAGCCUAGAUGUACUUGCAGCGGCAGAAAGCACAGCUGUUCGACAAGCGACUGCUCGUUUGCUGCGACAUCAGGAUAGACAACGCAGGCUUAACAACGUGCGCUUGGAGGAGCUUAAGAAGAGUAUGCACUCCCGGAAGUUGCUAGAGACAAAAUUACACAGAGAAAACUCGAACUUUCAAAGUAGGGAGGCUGACAUGAAGGAAAAAGAGAAGUAUCGUAUUGACAACAUGUACAAAAUGUCGAUGGAGGAAGCAAGGGCACAGCGAAAUGCUGAGCUUGAACGCCGUCGCUUGAUGUCUGAAACUUUCAAACAGCAGAAAGCAGAGCGAGAAGCAAGAGAACGUCAGGAUAAGCUUACGAAGCUGGAGGCCAAGGAAGCAGCUGUUCGGCAGGCAAAAAAAGUGGCAGACUGGAAGGAGCGCACCCGUGCGAUCGUCAAGCAGCAAGAUGCACGCAUCCGUACGAAAAAAAAUGAACUGCUAGCCGACGAGCGUCGUCGAGAGCAGUUAGCUUCGCAGCGCGAGGAGAACCGCAGGUCGACACUGGAAGCCACAGCAACUGAGUUUCAGUACAGACUCGGCCGAGCGAAAGCUUGUGCGGAGGUUCAUAACCAUGAAAGAUUGAUAGAGCUCCAUGAACGAGAGAAGAAGCAGAACGCUCGAAUGCAGCAGUUGAACGAGUACCGGCACUGUGAGAUAAAGUUAGAGAAGAUGCGGAACCAGGAGAGGGAAGGCGUGAGGCGUCGAAUAAAAGAAGAGGCUCAAAGGAUACAGUCAAACCGUGUUGCACGAUUUUUGGCUGAGUCAGAUAUUGCAGAUCGCAAAGCCAAGGAAGUCACGGCAGCAAAUGCGUUUCAUCGGCAAAUGACCCUUACAGAGCGCAAUUUAUCGUUUGAUGACCGCAGACUGCGCACCGAGAUGAAUAAGAAACAGGAGGCAUUACAUCGAUUUAAAUUGAAGCAAAAAAUCGAUAGAGACAGUGCCAAGGCCGAGUACAUCAAAGAGAUGAAAGACAGAGUUAGGCGGCGGGCGGUCCAGACCAACAUAGACGCAGCACUCACUCGAAGAGAACAGAAAGAAGAAGCAGAAAAGUUCUUACACGCGUCAUAUCGUUCUCAGGCUACACCCUCAUUUAUUUCAAGAUCGAAUUCGAUUUAUGGACAGAGAAUUUUAUGAGGUGAGAUGUGAACCCGCAGAGUGUAUCUCACAAAGUAGAUGCAUAUAAGUCGCGUUGACUCGACAGAACCGCGAACCUGGAUGUCUGGGUGAAACAGGAAAUUGGAUCAACGACGGACACUGUUUCUUUCUUCAUGGAGGCAAGGUCCAUCUAUGAUUGGGCAGCUUCUCGUGCCUUCAGCAUCGUAUGGAAAUAUGUGAAGGACAAUAGAAUUAGACUAGCUUGCUCGGCCACACUUUACCUCUGACAAUAUUUACUGUUCAGCAAAGAAAUUUAAUGAUGUAAUAUUAGUCUACGUGUAAGUUACGCGCACAUAAGGUUACUAGUAUUAGGUUACUCAUAUUUCUUCUUUAAGUUUAAAUACACUUUCAAACUACGUGUAAUUGUACGGAAGUACUUACUACAACGUAGAAGUACUCAGCUACAAUAUAUUAUAAAGGCCUACAGGUGAUAAAUUACCGGCAACAUGCACCCCGUGCACGUGUUGCCACACAAUUCACGAAGUCCAGGAGCGGAAGAGCUGCUCUUUCCUCUGAUCGAACAGCUGAAAGAACUGUGUUCAGUGGAUCAAUCAGCGACUUCGCGUCUUUCGUGGCAAGUUUUGGGAUGAAUGGUUUGAGUCCCAAGGACAGAAAAGAAAGUCGCAUUGGGUUUGGUGCUGCCGUCGGGACAACAAAAUUGAGCCCCUCUUCGACAACACAUCGAACUGCCACUCUAUCACGCUGACUACCCACCAUGAAUAAUCCUGCGAGGCGCUCAGCAAACUCAACAAAUGCUUCCUCGAGAUCAACUGCAACUUCCUGAUCUCCUACAACUAUUUCUUCGAAAGCAGAUGCUAGGGAUAUGGUGACUGUACUCCCGGCUGCGUGUGGUCCUAGGUGACGGAGAUCGAUGAAGAUCGCGGCAAUGGCAUGAUCAGUCCAAUGCCCAGCAUGACCAUAGUUUGCUAAGAGCUCAGCUGCGACAAAUCCAUGGGUUGUCUUUGCGAUAUCGUACAUGGCAAGCCCAUAUGCAAGUCUGGAAAUCUCACCAUCCGCGCAAUAGUCUUCAGCAUCUACUCCUUGAACACUACCUUCUGCAGGAAUAUCGAGAAGACGAUUACAGGUAUCCCAUAUUGUUCGCAAGGUAGAUUCAGAGAAGCGAAGUUCGAGUGUUUCGAGAACUUCUAUUGCUAUUCCAGCUCGCCUAAGACCUGUGUCAAAUACAACGUGAGAAGCUUGGCAGCAAAUAAUAAGAUUCGUCACAGCAGAUAUGACCGCCUUGGCCAAAAUACGGCUCCCAGAAUAUAAUCCAUCAGAAAGUUUGGCGAGAGCUAUAGCGUUAAAGAUGAAGUCGUCUCGGAUCGAAACGUGUGCCGCUAUUGCUGAAAUAGACAAAUCUUUCUUGUGAAGAAGCGAUAGAAUGUCAUGCCUCAAGGCGAGCGAUAAAGCACGAAGUGCAAGAGCUACUGCAUGCACGCUGACGCGCGAACUGCCGUGCGCGGCACUGGUAAUAAAUGAAGUAAGGUCACAAAAGAAGUUAAAUUUCUUGAGCGGGUUUUGAGCUAUUGCAGGUGGCGGUAAAAGCGAUAGAAAUGCAUUCAGUCGUGCCAAGUCCCCAUGAAGUUGGAAAUAUAUCUCCCUGUUCUGUAAUGUUGAAUGCGCAUAGGAUGUUUUUCCUGAAUCGCAAAUAAGGUCAAUGUUUCCUUCGUGAGCAUGCGAAGUAUUGCAGCCAUUCCUUUCCUUCAUAGCAGUAAAAACAUGAUGCAACCGUUCUGAAAUUUUGUGGAAAGAAUUUUCACAGAAUUUUCUGCUGAUUUCGUUGAGUGCUCCGUGACUAUUCGUUAUAGCGUGGAAUGUGAAUUCUACGCAUGCAUCAAUUAUUCGCCUGCUCGAGUGUUGAAAAAAUAAGCUGCCAAUGCAAUUUAGAAUUUCUUCGAAGUCAUUUUCUCUGUGCAUCAGCAAAAAAUGCUCAAGCUUAACGUGUCUCAAUGUUUCGAUUAGUGGUCCAAUUACAGCCGCGUCUGAACUCCACCUACAAAGUAAGGAAGGGAUCGAGUUCAUCGCAGCUUUUGUAAACGUCUCCUGAGCAUAUUCUUUUUCUUUUCGCUGGGCUUUUAUCGAAAGACGUUGAGUUGCUCGUCCACCGGUCAUACCACGGGCGUCUAUUCGCCUCAAAAGUUGUUCUCCACAUGCCCGACGAACAGCGCAAGCAAAUAUAUUUGAGAGUAUAGCUGCAUCGUUGCUCGUCAAUUCCGCAUCUGACACUGGGUCGUGAGGCUUACCAACCUCGGGACUUUCGAAAAGCAGCAUCCUGCAGAGAAGUUCCCAGUCUGAAAGAGUCGAGUGAUGAAUACUCCAGAGUGCGUCAACUGUGAUAGCACUGCGUGCACGGCUGCCUUGAAGAUCUUUAAUAAUGCGAACGACUGACAUGAUAGUAUCACGGGAAGUGUCUCGGAUGUUUUCAUUAUGUAUUUUUGUGGCAGGUGAGUGCGUCACAUAGCAUGGCGGGGGUACUGCACCUCUAUUUCUGCUCUCACGAGAAGCAAGGCUGGGGAUUAAAGCAGCAGCAGCGCAACGGACAUGUUCACUUCUAUCCAACAGGAGCGAGACUACUGCACCAGCAUCUUUAUGCGGAAGGACACUGGCUUCUAACAGCAGCCCAACAGUCGAAACAGCUUCAGCUGCAACUCUGGGGUCAAUAUCAUCCAGCAUCUCUAUCACACGAUACAUAAAACGGGCAUUGAAUGUGUCCAUCAAUGCCAAAUUUUCAGAAGAUGCUCUGUACAAAUCACGCAGUGCAACCAGUACUGCAAGCCGCACGUCUGGGUUCUUAUCAUUUAGGGACCAACCUAAAUACUUCAGAUAAAAGUCCGAAAGGAAAAAGAGUGGAUGGUCUCGCAUCCAGUGGCCAAUGGAACGCAUGCAGCUUGUACGGAUGUUUGCAUCCGUAUCUCUGAAUCGAUGCGUGAAUACUCUGUUGAAUGUUUCCUUUAUCAUGCCCUCUGUACUGUUAACUCGAUUCUGUGUGAGGACUAAAGCUUCCUUGAGUGUCCUGAUCAUGAGGUUAUUUGAUCUUUUUCUUUUAUUUAUUUCAGCGUCCAGCUGACGUUGCUUCAUAUCUCGCGUAUCAGCAUGAAGUUUGACAGUUUGAAUCAGUGAAGUCACCAGCUGCAAGCCGGCUUCAGUUGCCGCUACACGAAUUUUCCUUGCCCUCGUGCUAGAAAACAUGGUGAUGAGGUCGACAAGCGAAUCAAAAAGGGGUACCGAGGACACCAAGCAAGGUUUUUCUUCACCGGCACGCUCUGCACGGCCAGAUGGCGAUAUUCGAGAGAGGAAGAGCAAAUCAGUUUGGCAGCUAUCUCGAAUCAGACUGUCCCAGAACUGGAGGUAGUUGUUCCUGAAAGACUUCGUUAGCUCCUUUGCUAUUCUCGGAUCUGAGUUCUCCAACAGAACAUCAGAGUCGUGGUUCCGAACUGCGAACUCCGAGAGGACUCUUGCACCUAUAUCUUCAAGGCUGCAGUCCAUUAAUUCGAUGGACGUAAUCGUUGUUGCACUACCACCAGCCUGCAUAUUUUGGGAUUGACAUCUUUCUCAGAGGUGUACUCUUCGGGCCAGCUCGUGAAUCAAACAAACGAGUUUUGGAGGGACUUGACACACCUUCGCGAUAAGCGUGUAGAGCUCGGCAACAGCAGCAGAUGGGUCAACGCCAUACCUUGCACACCAUGCAGAAGCGACGAGCGCGAUAUUGAUGCUGUUAUCCGUCAAAGACGCAAACAAAGGAAGAGUGCGUGAGGCGACCUCUUCAGUAUUUAAAACAUUUUUCCUUGUGACCAUCUGCUAACGUACUUUUUCGGAACGCCUUUCAAUUAUACUUCAAAAGAAAACCGGCAACUUUUGGGAUUGUUGUCUAUGUCUAGAUGCCGGAAGAGGUGAUGAUGCGCUCGAAUGAUUAGGCUCUGUGUUGACAACCUUACGUUUCACCUUUUUUGAAUUUUCUCGACUGUACUUUCUAACGUUAGCCCUGCCUACUUCCGGAAGUACUUUCGUACUUUCGUACAACGUAUUAUUUCCGUACAGUACGUGUAUGUUGUAGUUUACGUGUGCAGCUGUACGUGUACGUGUACACGUACACGUACAACGUUGUACAACUACAACUACAGUAAUUUUGUUGAUGAAAUACAAGGAGGGUUUUUUUGGAGGCUCCGGUGGUCAACCCAUAAAGCUCCGUCAAAUACUUGUACUGUACGUGUACACGUACACGUACAACGUUAGUGUAUUCUUCGAAGAGUCUUCGAAGAUACCUUCGUACGAAAGUACUUUCGUACGAAAAUACUUUCGUACUCUCGAAAGUACGAAGGUAUCUAUUUUCGUACUUUCGUACAACGUUGUAUGAUACGUGUACGACUGUACGUGUAGUCGUGUACAGUACAACCCGUUACAACCCGUUACGUACACUGCUUCCGUAGGGCCCUAGAUAGGAUAGCUAGCUAGUGGCUAAAAGCGAACGGAUAUGCGCUUAGAAAGGAUGGCGAAAGGAUGAGCGCGCGGUGUGCUAUAACAUCGCGCAGACGCCGUUUUUGGCUCUGUAACUGCACGGCAUGUUAGAUUACAUCACCCUCGAGGCGCGCGGAUCGACCGCGUUCGUGUCUGAAUCGCACGAGCAAAGCAUAGAUUGGCGCGAUCGUGUCGAUUUGUAAAAGAGCAUUUUUCUUCGCAGCUCCAGCCUCGACCCGCGGAGUUCGACUGCCGACGCAAGCGAUCGUGUUUUUUUGCGCUGCGCGAAUUUUAAAUAUGCGCUAAUGUGUUCACGCGAUAUAAUCACGAAGUUUUUUUACGUUCAGAACUGUUAGCAUGAAGUUUCGACGUCGCGUACGCGAGCUCAGGAGACGGCAAAUGUUUCGUAACGCCGAGUCUGUUUUGCAAACGACGGAUCUGUGCGCCGUGACAGCCUGCUUCAGCGCCCCAGGUGUAUAAAACACGCUGGAAUGACCGAUUACGCUGUCUAGUCGAUGUUCGCUUUGACUCUCCGGCCUCAACCGCGGCGCGCGCCUCUCUGACUGUCCUCGCGCGGCGUGGCAGUUAAAAGGAUGAGCUCAUCAGUAGUUCAUCCUUUUAAAAACGUACUACGCUCUGACUAUUUGCUCAUACUACGCAGGCCGAAGGUGUGACAUUAGCGGCAAAAACCCUUUGAUCGGCUCUUGCGAUGAAAAAUACCCUUUCAGCAUUUUUGAUCGGAAAACCAUCCCGAUGGGACGGGGGGGGGGGGCAAACGAGAAUUCUCGUUUGCUAUUUGCCGCUAAUGUCACACCUCCGGCCUGCGUAGUACGUCAUCAUUUUAAUAUCCUUUAUAAAGCUCUCCUUUCGCUGAUAGCCACUAGCUAGCUAGCUAGCUAGACUCUACCUUCAUAUGAUACUUCAAAGACUCUUCAAAGUAGGAACUACGUGUACGGUUGCCUAAAACUUGAAUUUUUGUAUCGCACAUUGUUGUUUGCAUCUGUUAGUGCACAUUCUACGCGCGCGUUUGUUCUAUGUUCUAUUUAUACACCAUCCUCGUUGCCUCUUCAAGUUACGAGAAUCAGUGUCACCCCCCCACUAAUCCAACAACACACCUUCGCCUUCCUCAUCAAGAUCCUGGUUAUUUCUUUUAAAACGAUAACCGAUUAAGUUCGCCCUCCGCCACAACUUGUGUCCUGUAACGGUCGUAGGGUUGAUUCGCUCAUCCUCCCGAUUGGAUAUAGGACUGAUAUAGGUUGCUGUUACUCUCACUCAAACCGUUCUGAAACUGUCUUGUCAGUUUCGUCACUUCGUUACCUCCUGCUUCGUAGCGCACGGGAUUCGUCAUUCCCGCACGCUUACUCGGAUUCAGGCUUCCCCAGACCUGUCCCAGAAUCCACUCGUACAUUUCGGCACAUUCUCGUCAUCUGUGCUUGUGUAUCUUGAACUUGACACGACGGCCCUUGUCACCUCACGAUCGAUCUUCGCAAGGCAGACUCAGUGUCUAGCUAUGAUAGCUACCUUCGAAG